rnacentral:rRNA from 1 species
UACAGAGGGUGCGAGCGUUGAUCGGAGUUACUGGGCGUAAAGGGCGCGUAGGCGGUCAGCACAAGUCAGUUGUGAAAUCUCCGGGCUUAACUCGGAAAGGUCAACUGAUACUGUGCGACUAGAGUGCGGAAGGGGCAACUGGAAUUCUCGGUGUAGCGGUGAAAUGCGUAGAUAUCGAGAGGAACACCUGCGGCGAAGGCGGGUUGCUGGGCCGACACUGACGCUGAUGCGCGAAAGCCAGGGGAGCGAACGGG